CGUAGCUCAGCAGGUCAGAGCGUUGGUUUCAUAAGCCCAAGGUCAUCGGUUCGAUUCCGGUCGGU
rnacentral:tRNA from 1 species